GUAGGUGGCAAGCGUUGUCCGGAAUUAUUGGGCGUAAAGCGCGCGCAGGCGGUUCUUUAAGUCUGAUGUGAAAGCCCACGGCUCAACCGUGGAGGGUCAUUGGAAACUGGAGAACUUGAGUACAGAAGAGGAAAGCGGAAUUCCACGUGUAGCGGUGAAAUGCGUAGAGAUGUGGAGGAACACCAGUGGCGAAGGCGGCUUUCUGGUCUGUAACUGACGCUGAGGCGCGAAAGCGUGGGGAGCAAACAGGGAUUAGAUACCCUGGUAGUCCACGCCGUAAACGAUGAGUGCUAAGUGUUAGGGGGUUUCCGCCCCCCUUAGUGCUGCAGCUAACGCAUUAAGCACUCCGCCCUGGGAGUACGGCCGCAAGGCUG
rnacentral:rRNA from 1 species